rnacentral:rRNA from 1 species
CAGUCGAGCGGACAGAAGGGAGCUUGCUCCCGGAUGUUAGCGGCGGACGGGUGAGUAACACGUGGGUAACCUGCCUGUAAGACUGGGAUAACUCCGGGAAACCGGAGCUAAUACCGGAUAGUUCCUUGAACCGCAUGGUUCAAGGAUGAAAGACGGUUUCGGCUGUCACUUACAGAUGGACCCGCGGCGCAUUAGCUAGUUGGUGGGGUAAUGGCUCACCAAGGCGACGAUGCGUAGCCGACCUGAGAGGGUGAUCGGCCACACUGGGACUGAGACACGGCCCAGACUCCUACGGGAGGCAGCAGUAGGGAAUCUUCCGCAAUGGACGAAAGUCUGACGGAGCAACGCCGCGUGAGUGAUGAAGGUUUUCGGAUCGUAAAGCUCUGUUGUUAGGGAAGAACAAGUGCGAGAGUAACUGCUCGCACCUUGACGGUACCUAACCAGAAAGCCACGGCUAACUACGUGCCAGCAGCCGCGGUAAUACGUAGGUGGCAAGCGUUGUCCGGAAUUAUUGGGCGUAAAGGGCUCGCAGGCGGUUUCUUAAGUCUGAUGUGAAAGCCCCCGGCUCAACCGGGGAGGGUCAUUGGAAACUGGGAAACUUGAGUGCAGAAGAGGAGAGUGGAAUUCCACGUGUAGCGGUGAAAUGCGUAGAGAUGUGGAGGAACACCAGUGGCGAAGGCGACUCUCUGGUCUGUAACUGACGCUGAGGAGCGAAAGCGUGGGGAGCGAACAGGAUUAGAUACCCUGGUAGUCCACGCCGUAAACGAUGAGUGCUAAGUGUUAGGGGGUUUCCGCCCCUUAGUGCUGCAGCUAACGCAUUAAGCACUCCGCCUGGGGAGUACGGUCGCAAGACUGAAACUCAAAGGAAUUGACGGGGGCCCGCACAAGCGGUGGAGCAUGUGGUUUAAUUCGAAGCAACGCGAAGAACCUUACCAGGUCUUGACAUCCUCUGACAACCCUAGAGAUAGGGCUUUCCCUUCGGGGACAGAGUGACAGGUGGUGUGGUGCAUGGUUGUCGUCAGCUCGUGUCGUGAGAUGUUGGGUUAAGUCCCGCAACGAGCGCAACCCUUGAUCUUAGUUGCCAGCAUUCAGUUGGGCACUCUAAGGUGACUGCCGGUGACAAACCGGAGGAAGGUGGGGAUGACGUCUAAUCAUCAUGCCCCUUAUGACCUGGGCUACACACGUGCUACAAUGGACAGAACAAAGGGCUGCAAGACCGCAUGGUUUAGCCAAUCCCAUAAAUCUGUUCUCAGUUCGGAUCGCAGUCUGCAACUCGACUGCGUGAAGCUGGAAUCGCUAGUAAUCGCGGAUCAGCAUGCCGCGAUGAAUACUUUCCC